AGGUACCUCGCUCCCCUGCGAAGAAAUGGAUUCAACACUAGCGCACACGUGUGUUGUCGAGAGACUAUAUAUCGCUUCCAGAGGUGUAUGAUCAAGCUGUAUGAUCGAAAGCAAUCACAUGGAAAUGACUAUAUUUCGAGCAAGACGAUUGGAAAAUAAAAAGAGAGAUCUCUCUGGAAAAAGCAACGCAAAAUCUGAGAGAAAUGAAAGAGCAUCAGUAACAGCAGCAGCAGUGGCGGAGAAGUUUUUGGAUGAUACUAACGGGCAACAAAGAGCUAAGUUCUAAAGCUUCUCUUUUCUGUAAAGCUGAUACUUUGCUUUGCUUCUUUGUUUAAUCAGGCGAACGCAUACGGACGAUCGCAGCCCCGCAACGGAUACCUACGCUCUCCCAUACAAUACAUUCCAGAAGAAUAUUCUGUCAGGGGAUUGGACGAAUAUUCUCUCGAGAACAGAAUAUACUGGAAGCAGAAUAUACCUUGCUAGUCGUUGAAAAGGGUGGAGAAAUAAAAAAUAUUCGGUGCUUAGCGUGAGAA